rnacentral:rRNA from 1 species
UACGUAGGGUCCGAGCGUUGUCCGGAAUUACUGGGCGUAAAGAGCUCGUAGGUGGUUUGUCGCGUUGUUCGUGAAAACUCACAGCUUAACUGUGGGCGGUGCGGGCGGAUACGGGCAGACUAGAGUACUGCAGGGGGAGACUGGAAUUCCUGGUGUAGCGGUGGAAUGCGCAGAUAUCAGGAGGAACACCGGUGGCGAAGGCGGGUCUCUGGGCAGUAACUGACGCUGAGGAGCGAAAGCGUGGGGAGCGAACAGG